rnacentral:rRNA from 1 species
AAUUUUGAGUAAAGAUAAUAAAGGAAAUUUUUUAAAAUUAUUAGGUAGAAUUUUAAUUUUUAAAAAUAACAACAUCUUUAUUUCAAAAAAAGUAUGAUAAGGACCAGGAUUAGAUACCCUGUUACUCAUAACAAAAAAUUUUUGGAAUAGUACUAUUAAUGAAAUUUAACGGAUUUGGCGGCAAGAUAGCCACUUAGAGGAACCUGCCCUGUAAACGAUGAACCACGAUUAACCUUACUUUUAUUAGAAUCCAGUUUGUAUACCGCUGUUGUCAGUUAGUUUCUUUAGAAAACUUUCGUACAUGAAAAGUUCAAGGACUUCAAGUAAAGGUGCAGCUUAUGUAAAAGAUAGAGGUGGGUUACAAUUAAAAGAAUAAUAUGGAUAAAGUAGAGAAGAAACUUUUGAAGGUGGAUUUAAUAGUAAAGUUUAAAAAGACUUGAUUAGAGCUCUAUCUUGUGUACACACCGCCCGUCGCUCUCUUUUUUAAAC